rnacentral:lncRNA from 1 species
UCCAGCCUGGCCACAGAGCCAGGACCUGUCUCAAAAAAAAAAAAAAAAGAAACCCCAUCUCUACUAAAUACAAAAAAUUAGCCAGGCCUGAUGGUGCACACCUGUAAUCCCAGCUACUCAAGAGGCUGAGGCAGGGAAUCACUUGAAUUCGGGAGGCGGAGGUUGCAGUGAGCCAAGAUUGCAUCAUUGUACUCUAGCCUGGCAACAGAGCGAGACUCCAGCUCAAAAAAAAAAGGUAGAAGGAAGUGUGCGCAGAUGUUACCAAGAAGACCCAUAAUACAAAAACUAGUAUUGUGAGGAUCUACCCAGCCAGGUUUAGGGAAGAUGGCCCUACCCUUACCUGUGUAAUAUUUCUUUUUUGAGACUGCCCAGCUUGAAAUGCCUGUAGUUGGAGUGCAGUGGUCGGAUCUCUUCACCACUGCAGCUCCACCUCCCGUUUACGCUUAUUUUUCUGCCUCAGCCUCCCGAGUAGCUGGGGACUGACAGGCUUCACCACUUCUCGCCUCGCUAGUUUUUUUUGUAUUUUUUAGUAGAGACGGGCUUCACUGUGCUAGCCAUAGCCCCAUCUCCCGACCUCGCGGAUCCACUGUCUGGCCUUCCCAAAGUGCUGGGAUUACAGGCUUGCUCACCGUCACCGCCACCUGUGUAAUAUUUCAAAAAUAAUAAAGGAAGCUAGGCAUGGCGGCUCUCUCCUGUAAUCUCAGCACUUUGGGAGGCCAAGGCAGAAGGACUUCUUGAGCUCAGGAGUUUGAGGCCAGCAUAGGCAACAUAGUAAGACCCCAUUUCUACAAAAAAUUUAAAAAUUAUUCGAGUGUGGUGGCACAUACCUGUAGUCCUAGCUACCCUGGAGACUGAGUUGGGAGGAGCGCUUGAACCCACGAGAUGGAGGCUGCAGUGAGCUAUGAUUGUGCCACUGCAAUCCAGCCUGGGCAACAGAGUGAGACUCUGUCUCUACCAGCUAGCUUUUUAAUUUUUGUUGCGAUGGGGGUCUUAAUCAUAUUACCCAGGCUGAUCUCAAACUUCUAGGCUCAAGUGAUCCUCCCGCUUUGACCUCCCAAAGUGCUGGGAUUGCAGGUGUGAGUCAUUGAGCCUGGUCUAUUUCUUCUUCUUUUUUUUUUUUUUUUUUUUUUUGAGACGGGGUUUCACUCUGUCGCCUAGAGUGGAAUAGAGUGGUUCAGUCACAGCUCACUGAAGCCUUGAACUCCUGGGCUCAUGCAAUCCUCCCACCUCAGCCAGCUGGAUCUCUGGGACUACAGAUGUGCACCACCACAGUAGGCUAAUUUUUUACUUUUUUGUAGAGAAAGGUCUUGCUAUGUUGCCCAGGUGGGCCUCAAACUCCUGGGUUCAAGUGAUCCUCCUACCUUCGCCUCCCAAAGCGCUAUGAGUACAGGUGUGAGCCACUGUGCCUGGCCCAGGGAUUCAUUUCUCAUAGUUCUGGAGGUGGGGAGUCCCAGACUGAGGUGUUGGCAGAUUCGGUGUCUGGAGAGAGCCCUCUUUCUGGUUCCUAGAUAGAGCCUACUCACUGUGUCCUCACAUAGGGGAAGGGGCCAGCAAGCUCUCCGGGCUCUCUUUUAAAAGGGCACUCACACCAUUCAUGAGGGCCCCACUCUCAUGACCUAAUCACCUCCCAAAGGCCCCACCUCCUAAUAUCCUAAUACUAUCACCUUUGGGGUUAGGAUUUCAAUACACGAGUUUUGGGGAGACACAAACAUUCAGACCAUAACAGGAAGCAUAAGGAAUAUGUGAAAUAAUUAAUAAACGAUGCCAG